CAGGCGCAGCUACCAUGCAGUCGAGCGGAUGAAGGAGCUUGCUCCUGGGUUCCCGGCGGACGGGUGAGUAAUGCCUAUGAAUCUGCCUGGUAGUGGGGGACAUCGUUUCCAAAGGAACGCUAAUACCGCAUACGUCCUACGGGAGAAAGCAGGGGACCUUCUGGCCUUGCGCUAUCAUAUGAGCCUAUGUCGGAUUAUCUAUUUGGUGAGGUAAUGGGUCACCAAGGCGACAAUCCGUAACUGGGCUGAGAGGAUGAUCACUCACACUGGAACUGAGACACGGUCCACACUCCUACGGGAGGCAGCAGUGGGGAAUAUUGGACAAUGGGCGAAAGCCUGAUCCCCCCAUGCCGCGUGUGUGAAAAAAGUCUUCGGAUUGUAAAGCACUUUAAGUUGGGAGGAAGGGCAUUAACCUAAUACAUUAGUGUUUUGACGUUACCGACAGAAUAAACACCGGCUAACUCUGUGCCAGCACCCGCGGUAAUACACAGGGUGCAAGCGUUAAUCUCAAUUACUGGGCGUAAAGCGCGCGUAUGUGGUUUGUUAAAUUGGAUGUGAAAUCCCCGGGCUCAACCUGGGAACUGCAUUCAAAACUGACAAGCUAGAGUAUGGUAUAGGGUGGUGGAAUUUCCUGUGUAGCGGUGAAAUGCGUAUAUAUAUGAAGGAACACCACUGGCGAAAGCGACCACCUGGACUGAUACUGACACUGAGGUGCGAAAGCGUGUGGAGCAAACACGAUUAUAUACCCUGGUAGUCCACGCCGUAUACGAUGUCAACUAUCCGCUGUGAGCCUUGAGCUCUCAUUGUCGCACCUCACGCAUUAAUAUUGACCGCCUGGGGGAGUACAGCCGCACAGUUAAAACACACAUGAAUUGUCAGGGGCGCGCACACGAGGUGGAGCAUGUGUUUUAAUUCUAAGCAACGCGAGAACCUCACCACGCCUCGACAUCCCACUGAACAUUUCUAGAGAUGGAUAGUUGCGUUCUGGGAACAUUGAGACACGUGCUGCAUCGUCUGUCGUCAGCUCGUCGUCGUCGAGAUGAUGUGGUUAAGUCCCGUAACGACGCGCACCACCUCGUCCUCUAGUAUACCAGCCACGAUGAUG
rnacentral:rRNA from 1 species